AAUAUCAGAAGGAUAUUAAAGGGCUUCCUGUGAAGCAAGGUAGUGCAUAGGACUGAUGGUAGAAGCUUCCUUCAGAGCCACUCUGAAGAGGAAAUAUCAUCAUAUAGUUUGGAAGGAAAUCUUGGAAGAAGCCCAAACGGAACACUGCAAAAUUUUCUUCCAUCUAGAUACUCCAAGUCAAACUGCAUGUUUUCUGGAGAUCCGCAAACUAUUGUAAUCUCAUUUGCCUUUUGGUGCCAACUCCUGGCCCUUGCUCUUUUCCAUUCUGGAACCAGCAGGCCUUGUUGAAGGCACAGUUGCUGACUGUGACGUGUUUGCUCUCUCUUUGCACUUCCUAUCCUUUCAGAGAUCAUUGUCAUCACAGGACAAGGAUGGUGGGAGAACCAUUGCUGCAGAGCCUUGUGGGAACUGGAAAACCUUGGAUCUGGUAUACCACAGAAGCAGAAGCCAGGUCUGUAUUGAUCUCACCUGAAUGGUGCUCACUAGCAAGUGGAAGAUUGGCAUCGUGCAGUGAAGAAUCAGUCCUCAUCCAUCUUUCACCAUCCUCGAAGAUACAGACUUGGUUUACUUUGCAUCUGGGUAGAUGAAGGCGUAAAGACAGGGUGUGUAAAUUGAUAAUGGAACAAGUGUAUUUGGUUUUGUUCAUGCCUCUUGCUAGUAAGCCUAAACCUCUUCAGAGCAAUGGCUCAUAAGUGUGUGUAAAGGAGAAAGUGGUGAAGGCAGGGGUCAGAUAGCAAGCAGAUUUCAUUCAGCCAAACAUACACAUGUAAGCAAGUCUUUCUAAAACAAUUUAAAGAACAAGCAGUCCAAAAUUGGGUGCAUGUGUGGGGGAAGAAUAUCACAAGAUUCAUAUUGAAACAGUAAACUUAGGGACACGUCUUGGUUUUAAAACCCCAGACAUUUCUCUCUUUAUUAUAAUUAUUAUUAUUUUGUGUGUGUGUGUGUGUGUAUCUGUGUGCGUGUGUGCGUUAUUUCCUUUUUAAUUUUGCUUGCUUUCUGUUUGAUCGCUGAGCUGAUGGACUCAUCAUGCACCUUAUGGACAUCUCAGCAUUUUUUAAGAGGCCUGCGCAAUGGGGAUGAUUUGGUUUGGUUGGCUCUGCCAUGGUUUUGUUGAUCCAUUUUGUAAUGUUGGGGCAUGUUCCAGAUCCAUUGAUUAUGGCUGUGAAAGUGGGGUAAAUGUCCCACCAGAGCCAGCAGUAAGAAAACUGCAACAACAACACAAACACAAUAUUUUUUAUAAGUACAUAAAAAGGAAAAUUAAAAAAAAAAAAAAGGAAAGAAA